rnacentral:misc_RNA from 1 species
GAUUCCACUCGUAAAAAAUUGCCCAAAUUUUGGCCAUGUUCACAGCAAGAUAUUCUAAUGUGCGCUUGCGUGUGUAUCGACUAAAAGUGAUUUCAAGGAUAUAAUAAUUUCAGAAAGCGAUAGUCACAACAAGCAAAAGCUUAUGAUUACAUGUCCAAGUAUAUACAUAAGCGAGCACAAGCAGGCAUAUCACUAUAUGUUUAAGAAAGACUACCUCAACAAAUAUUUUUAGUAUUA